GACGAACGCUGGCGGCGUGCUUAACACAUGCAAGUCGAACGGAAAGGCCCUGCUUUUGUGGGGUGCUCGAGUAGCGAACGGGUGAGUAACACGUGAGUAACCUGCCCUUGACUUUGGGAUAACGUCAGGAAACUGGGGCUAAUACCGGAUAGGAGCUCCUGCUGCAAGGUGGGGGUUGGAAAGUUUCGGCGGUUGGGGAUGGACUCGCGGCUUAUCAGCUUGUUGGUGGGGUAGUGGCUUACCAAGGCUUUGACGGGUAGCCGGCCUGAGAGGGUGACCGGCCCCAUUGGGACUGAGAUGCGGCCCAGACUCCUCCGGGAGGCAGGAGUGGGGAAUAUUGCACAAUGGGCGGAAGCUUGAUGCAGCAACGCCGCGUGGGGGAUGACGGCCUUCGGGUUGUAUACCGCUUUCGCCUGUGACGAAGCGUAAGUGACGGUAAUGGGUAAAGAAGCACCGGCUAACUACGUG
rnacentral:rRNA from 1 species